UACUAAGGGUGUGACGAGAUCUCCUUUUACGAGAUCUCGCGAGAUUAAAACGUGACGAGAUUUCUCGUCGAGGUGAAAAGAGAGAGGGAGUGGCUGA